rnacentral:rRNA from 1 species
AUUGAACGCUGGCGGCAGGCCUAACACAUGCAAGUCGAGCGGAUGAAGGGAGCUUGCUCCUGGAUUCAGCGGCGGACGGGUGAGUAAUGCCUAGGAAUCUGCCUGGUAGUGGGGGAUAACGUCCGGAAACGGGCGCUAAUACCGCAUACGUCCUGAGGGAGAAAGUGGGGGAUCUUCGGACCUCACGCUAUCAGAUGAGCCUAGGUCGGAUUAGCUAGUUGGUGGGGUAAAGGCCUACCAAGGCGACGAUCCGUAACUGGUCUGAGAGGAUGAUCAGUCACACUGGAACUGAGACACGGUCCAGACUCCUACGGGAGGCAGCAGUGGGGAAUAUUGGACAAUGGGCGAAAGCCUGAUCCAGCCAUGCCGCGUGUGUGAAGAAGGUCUUCGGAGUGUAAAGCACUUUAAGUUGGGAGGAAGGGCAGUAAGUUAAUACCUUGCUGUUUUGACGUUACCAACAGAAUAAGCACCGGCUAACUUCG